AUUGAACGCUGGCGGCAUGCCUUACACAUGCCAGUCGAACGGUAACAGGUCUUCGGAUGCUGACGAGUGGCGAACGGGUGAGUAAUACAUCGGAACGUGCCCGAUCGUGGGGGAUAACGAAGCGAAAGCUUUGCUAAUACCGCAUACGAUCUACGGAUGAAAGCGGGGGAUCUUCGGACCUCGCGCGGACGGAGCGGCCGAUGGCAGAUUAGGUAGUUGGUGGGAUAAAAGCUUACCAAGCCGACGAUCUGUAGCUGGUCUGAGAGGAGGAUCAGCCCCAGUGGGGCUGAGGGACGCCCGAGGCCCGAAGGGGGGGCAGGAGUGGGAAAUUUUGGAAAAGGGGGGCAAGCCUGACCAAGCGCGGCCGGGUGAAGGAAGAAGGCCUUGGGGUGGAAAACGGCUUUUGUGGGGAAAAAAAGGGUCCUUUUUAAAAAAGGGGGGUCUGAAGGGAACCUAAAAAAAAGCACCGGCUAAACAAGGG
rnacentral:rRNA from 1 species